rnacentral:tRNA from 1 species
GCUCAGUCAGUUAAACUUCCAACUCUUGAUUUUGGCUCAGGUCAUGAUUUCACGGUUUGUGGGUUCGAGCCCCACACUGGGCU